rnacentral:rRNA from 1 species
UCCAACCUGCCGAUGACUCGGGGAUAGCCUUUCGAAAGAAAGAUUAAUACCCGAUGGCAUAGUUCUUCCGCAUGGUAGAACUAUUAAAGAAUUUCGGUCAUCGAUGGGGAUGCGUUCCAUUAGGUUGUUGGCGGGGGUAACGGCCCACCAAGCCUUCGAUGGAUAGGGGUUCUGAGAGGAAGGUCCCCCACAUUGGAACUGAGACACGGUCCAAACUCCUACGGGAGGCAGCAGUGAGGAAUAUUGGUCAAUGGACGAGAGUCUGAACCAGCCAAGUAGCGUGAAGGAUGACUGCCCUAUGGGUUGUAAACUUCUUUUAUACGGGAAUAAAGUGAGGCACGUGUGCCUUUUUGUAUGUACCGUAUGAAUAAGGAUCGGCUAACUCCGUGCCAGCAGCCGCGGUAAUACGGAGGAUCCGAGCGUUAUCCGGAUUUAUUGGGUUUAAAGGGAGCGUAGGCGGACGCUUAAGUCAGUUGUGAAAGUUUGCGGCUCAACCGUAAAAUUGCAGUUGAUACUGGGUGUCUUGAGUACAGUAGAGGCAGGCGGAAUUCGUGGUGUAGCGGUGAAAUGCUUAGAUAUCACGAAGAACUCCGAUUGCGAAGGCAGCCUGCUGGACUGUAACUGACGCUGAUGCUCGAAAGUGUGGGUAUCAAACAGGAUUAGAUACCCUGGUAGUCCACACAGUAAACGAUGAAUACUCGCUGUUUGCGAUAUACAGUAAGCGGCCAAGCGAAAGCGUUAAGUAUUCCACCUGGGGAGUAC